rnacentral:rRNA from 1 species
UCAGAGUUUGAUCCUGGCUCAGGAUGAACGCUAGCGGCAGGCUUAACACAUGCAAGUCGAGGGGUAACAGGGAAAAGCUUGCUUUUUUGCUGACGACCGGCGAACGGGUGCGUAACGCGUAUAGAAUCUGCCUUGUACAGGAGGAUAGCCUUUAGAAAUGAAGAUUAAUACUCCAUAAUGUUGAGAGAUGGCAUCAUCUUUUAAUUAAAGAUUUAUCGGUACAAGAUGACUAUGCGUCCUAUUAGCUAGAUGGUAAGGUAACGGCUUACCAUGGCAACGAUAGGUAGGGGGUCUGAGAGGAUUAUCCCCCACACUGGUACUGAGACACGGACCAGACUCCUACGGGAGGCAGCAGUGAGGAAUAUUGGUCAAUGGAGGCAACUCUGAACCAGCCAUGCCGCGUGCAGGAAGACUGCCCUAUGGGUUGUAAACUGCUUUUAUACAGGAAGAAACUUAGUUACGUGUAACUAACUGACGGUACUGUAAGAAUAAGCACCGGCUAACUCCGUGCCAGCAGCCGCGGUAAUAC